UAAACUAGGAUUAGAUACCCUAUUAUUUAAAAUGUAAAUAUUUGCUAAGGUAGUAAUAGUUUUAUUCUUUAAACCUAAAGAAUUUGGCGGUGUUUUAGUCCAUUCAGAGGAAUUUGUCCUGUUAUCGAUAGUCCCCGUUGUAUCUUACUUUUAUUUGUUUAGUUUGUAUAUCGUCGUUAUUAGCUUAUUUUUUAAGAAUUAAUUUGCUUAAAAUUUUAUUAAUUAAUAUAUCAGAUCAAGGUGCAGCUUAUGUAUAAGUAGAGAUGAAUUACAAUAUUAUUUUAGUAUAUGGAUGUUUAUUUUAUAAUUUUAUUGAAAGUGGAUUUGUUAGUAAUUUUUAUUAUAAUGUUAAAUUGAUUUUGGCUCUAAAAUGAGUACACAUCG
rnacentral:rRNA from 1 species